rnacentral:rRNA from 1 species
UAUGGUGUGUGCCAGCCGCCGCGGUAAUACGUAUGGUGCAAGCGUUAUCCGGAUUUACUGGGUGUAAAGGGAGCGCAGGCGGUGCGGCAAGUCUGAUGUGAAAGCCCGGGGCUCAACCCCGGUACUGCAUUGGAAACUGUCGUACUAGAGUGUCGGAGGGGUAAGUGGAAUUCCUAGUGUAGCGGUGAAAUGCGUAGAUAUUAGGAGGAACACCAGUGGCGAAGGCGGCUUACUGGACGAUAACUGACGCUGAGGCUCGAAAGCGUGGGGAGCAAACAGG